GACUGCUGGGCGGAAGAAUGAAUGACUGGAGCGGAAGGUGUGACCCUAAGGGAGAAAUCUGGUCCCUGGAAAGAACGUCAGGAGGUGGUAAAUUCGGUAAAAGGGUAAACUCGAGCCCUGACAGGGAGUCCGGCCGCGGUGAGCGGUUCGGGGAGGAAGUGCGGCCGCUCCAGCAGACACCGUCGACGACGGGUGGCGAAAGGACCUGCAGCCUCCAGGGCCGGCCGGUGCCGCUCACUCCCGGAGAUGAGUUCUUUGAGGUUUUCCGUUUUGCUUCAGACCUUCAUUUCGUCAGGACAAAAGAUGUUUCUCCAGCUACAUGUGGCUGAGCAGAAAGUGUUGGACAGAAAAAGUGUAAGGAGGCAGCUGGCAUGCGAACUCGGUGCUGAUGGAGGCCGUCUGCAACCUUUCUUCUGAGCCCGAACACUGGAAACACUCCUGAGGCCUGGAGGAAAUGGAUCAUUGCCUCUGCUUUGGAAGCCUCUCUUCCUUUCAUCUGCUUCCAGGGAGCAACCCCACAUCUCCUGCUGCCUUCUGUAUAUCAGCUGGAAUUAUGAAAACUAGGAAUUAGGCAAAGUACUCAGCUUCGGCAGUUGGAUCAGAAGCUGCGUUGCAGACAGGCAAGAGAGGUGAGAAACUAAGUUCUUUUUACAUGAGAUACAUGAAUAUUGCCAUAGUUCCGUUUAUUGUAGGCAUAAGUACAGAUAUGACUCCUAGUGCUGCAUCAAGCUUCCUUCCUUUUACAUUAACACAUUCCUGCCUUCUCAAAUCACCGGUACUGUCCCAUCGAGCGACUCAGGACACUUGAUGGGAUUGUUCCAUGCGACCCAGUAGGACAGUCGUGCAUGUACCACUAGUGGUUAAAGCCUACAGGAAUGUAACACAUUCAAAUCAGAGCUUCCCAACAGUGAGACAUAUGAAUUAUGGUCCCAUUAUGACUUUCAGCUAUAGAAUUUUAAGCCUGUUAUGGUAUAUUUAGAUCAUCCUGGGCCCCUGCAUUCUUCUGAUAAUAGUAGCUCUACUUUUGGGCACCAUCUAGGUGUUCUGCAUAUAUUAUUUCUAAUUCUCACACUAAUCCUUUGCAUAAGCAGUUUGGCACUCAUUUUACUGACAAAGGCCAAGGUCCAUCCAGAUCACAUAACCUGACUGAAGUCCAGAGCCAAGCCUGUUUUCAGAUCCUGGUCAGUCUGACUUUAGAAGUCCUUGAUCUUUUUGCUUUGUUGCAUGAUUAGUUUCAAAGAAAAUUUCGAAUAACAAGAGACGGAUGGUCUCUUGCAUGGUCUCCAGCAAUUCUGAGCACCAUUCAGAUGGUCCCCAUACACUCCCUACCCUCUCCUUAAGAGUGGGUUCCAUAGUAAUUCAGGCAGUUUGGGGCCCCCACAUGAAGUAGAUCUCCAGUGAUUGAGAGCUAAUGUCGCAUGGAGUGGCCAUGCUUGGUAACCAAAUGUCAACCGUGCUACGGUGCUAUCUUCACCGCCAGAAACAUAUUCUCACAUUCAGUCUCUUCGAGGCCCCCCAGUAUGUACUCCUAUCUCAUUCAGAACAUUUAGGACCCAAA